AUACGGAGGGUGCAAGCGUUAAUCGGAAUUACUGGGCGUAAAGCGUACGUAGGCGGUCCGUUAAGUUAGAUGUGAAAGCCCCGGGCUUAACCUGGGAACUGCAUUUAAAACUGGCGGACUAGAGUUGGGUAGAGGGGAGUGGAAUUUCAGGUGUAGCGGUGAAAUGCGUAGAGAUCUGAAGGAACACCAGUGGCGAAGGCGACUCCCUGGACUCGAACUGACGCUGAGGUACGAAAGCGUGGGUAGCAAACGGGAUUAGAAACCCCAGUAGUCC
rnacentral:rRNA from 1 species